UACGUAGGCAGCGAGCGUUGUUCGGAGUUACUGGGCGUAAAGAGUGCGUAGGCGGUUUUCUAAGUUUGGUGUGAAAUCUCCCGGCUUAACUGGGAGGGUGCGCCGAAGACUGGAAGGCUUGAGUAUGGGAGAGGUAAGCGGGAUUCCUGGUGUAGCGGUGAAAUGCGUAGAUAUCAGGAAGAACACCCGUGGCGAAGGCGGCUCUCUGGGACGGUACUGACGCUGAGACGCGAAAGCGUGGGGAGCGAACAGG
rnacentral:rRNA from 1 species